UUCACGUUGGAUCUUAUGCCCAGCAGUUCUUUCUACUCACUGUGGGGCUUUGUCUUAGAAUGCACUUUUGUCUGGUGAGUUUUGAACAUCCGUGGGGCCUAAACUCGCAGGCCUUUUCAGAUCUGUCUACCCGCAGCAAGUCAAGUCUGCAAAGCUCCCUCAGGCGAACACUGCUCUCAGUUGGGCCCCUGGGGUUCGCGGGAACACCUGCCGCUUGCCUAGGGAUUGAGAUGUACAGCGAAUGCUGUUUCCUUUCUGGAAAUCCGGGCUCUCUGCCUAUGAAGCUCACACUACCAACAGCUCUGCAAGGCUGCAUUGAAGGAUGGCCAAGCCCUUGGGAAAGUGGGUAGAAACUUAACCAAAAGAUUAGGAGGAAACUCACUCUGAACUAAGAGAACAGAAUGGAUAGAGGCUCUGGGCUUCCAGGCAGGGAGAAAACAGAAGGAAGCCAAUGAGGCUCGAGACUGGUGACACUCACAGAAGCCUGCGUGGAACAGCGGAAAGGAAAGUACAUUAUUCAGAAUAGUGCACAACGGGGAAAGAUCUUAGCAGACUGUGAGUCAGCGUUCUGCCCUGCCACAGGGCACAGCCUUUGGGAAGGCCUUUCGGACCAAAUUAAGAAUGGGGUUUCUUGUGAUUGAAGCCAUGGCCACAGAAAGGAUGGACACAUGUGCACAUCAUGGUAUGGACACACGUGCACAUCAUGGCAUGUGCACCAUUGACUUAUUAGGAAGUAAGACAACACGGGCCUAAGAGAGGAGGCUGGAGAGCUCCAUCAGCCAAGGCCGGAAUAAGAAGAGCCAGCAGGCUUUGCUCGGGCAUCUCUCGCAACCGUUGCAUGUCUCCAUACCAACUGCUAAGAGAAAAGGCAGAGCCACAGAGGCUGUGGCAUGGCCACGACUUCUGGCUGCAUGGGGCUGCACAGCGAUGCUGCAUUGCCUCUGACAGUUUCCAGAAUUCUGCCUCAGAAGGUCAGCCACAUUCACCUGCGGAGAUAUUUUGGGCAGUCGUGACUCCCUUCUCUUGUUAUUCUCAUCAAUUCUCUUAGUGCAGUCACUAAGGCUUUUGAGAGAAAGCUUCAGAGCUAGUCUCCUGUACAACGCAAUGUUCAACACUUCUCCUAUUCUUGUUCAAACCAGUAAAAAUAUCAGAAAAAAUGGAGAAAGGACGAUGCUGACAAGCUGGGUCCUUUUUAUAUACAUCCCGGAGAGAGAGAUGCUUAAAUUCAGUGGCCCAGUCUUACUGGUGUUACCUGUAUUCCACAAACACAUGAAGCACAACCACGUUCCCGUGCUUCAAUGAGCACUUAAUGUUAAGGGCUGCUUUAGCUCGCCACACAAAACUCUGCCUCCUUCAUCCAGUUAUCAAAAACCAUUGAUAAUUGUUUCUGGGAAGGUUACAGGUGGUGAGACAUGGGUGGAAGUUUCAGGACAGGCCUAGUAACCUGAAGGUGAGCAUUUGGGAAAGAUGGAAGUGUGAGCUAUGAGCAGCUAGCACUUGCAGCUGCUGGGAGAACGGUGUGUUGGUCUGAUCAGGGGACAGAGGUUGGCUGGAACCACAACCCUGGCCUUUCUAACAAUGCGUUUGCCUAGGUGCUGGUGUCUACUUGGUGAUCCUGUCUCUGUCUCUGUUUUGGUGAGGGUCAUUUGCUCUGAGGUGUCUUCGUGGCAAUGUUCUAAAUAGUUAAUGACCAUGCCUUUGGAAAAAUCAAAAGCAAUUUCACAUUGCAACCCUGCAGGUCUCAGAAUCUCCGAGAUCUCUGUAUCUGCCUGACUGCUUUCAACCCUUCCUCCCUGAGACUGACCUCUGUCUUAAACUAUCUUGUCAAAUGCAGAUGCUAACACCAGUGCCCACAUCCAGGUUGACUAUCCCAGGGCUGACGUUCAUUUCAAAGAUUCCCAGAUUCCACGGGCCAUAGUUUUAUAAAAACCUUGGCCCAUAAAUAAAAUGAUUUUCCGU
rnacentral:lncRNA from 1 species